rnacentral:snRNA from 1 species
GUCCUUCGGGACAUUUGGUCAAUUUGAAACGAUACAGAGAAGGUUCGUAUCUCGCGCGAAGAUGAUUUUGGCAUUUGACUAACAUCCAAUAGAUUAGCAUGGCCCCUGCACUAAGGAUGACACGCUUUUCAAAGAGUGCUACAAGUUUUUU